ACCUACCUUGUGUCAGGGUCGGUUAUACAACAUCCAUGAGGUGAGUUUGCUCUCUCCUCUGUUAUCCGGUAAGCCUCGGUGCUUCUGGAUUAAGUCGCGGCUCGAAGGUGUUUGACUUGCUAACCGACUCUUGGGUUCCACGACCCGGGUUGGGCAGCGCACGGUCCCCUUGUGAGUCCGGGCGCGUGGCGAUCCCAYGCUAAGCCCGACCUUUUUAACAUU
rnacentral:misc_RNA from 1 species